AGAGUUGAUUAUGGCUCAGGACGAACGCUGGCGGCGUGCCUAACACAUGCAAGUCGAGCGAAGUUAUCCUCGGGAAUAACUUAGCGGCGGACGGGUGAGUAACACGUGGGUAACCUGCCUUAUAGAGGGGGAUAGCCUUCCGAAAGGAAGAUUAAUACCGCAUAACAUUGAGCUUUCGCAUGGAAGUUUAAUCAAAGGAGCAAUCCGCUAUAAGAUGGACCCGCGGCGCAUUAGCUAGUUGGUGAGGUAACGGCUCACCAAGGCGACGAUGCGUAGCCGACCUGAGAGGGUGAUCGGCCACAUUGGGACUGAGACACGGCCCAGACUCCUACGGGAGGCAGCAGUGGGGAAUAUUGCACAAUGGGGGAAACCCUGAUGCCAGCAACGCCGCGUGAGUGAUGAAGGCCUUCGGGUUGUAAAGCUCUGUCUUUGGGGACGAUAAUGACGGUACCCAAGGAGGAAGCCACGGCUAACUACGUGCCAGCCGCAGC
rnacentral:rRNA from 1 species